GGAAUAUUGCACAAUGGGCGCAAGCCUGAUGCAGCGACGCCGCGUGAGGGACGACGGCCUUCGGGUUGUAAACCUCUUUCAGCACAGACGAAGCGCAAGUGACGGUAUGUGCAGAAGAAGGACCGGCCAACUACGUGCCAGCAGCCGCGGUAAUACGUAGGGUCCGAGCGUUGUCCGGAAUUACUGGGCGUAAAGAGCUCGUAGGUGGUUUGUCGCGUUGUUCGUGAAAACUCACAGCUCAACUGUGGGCGUGCGGGCGAUACGGGCAGACUAGAGUACUGCAGGGGAGACUGGAAUUCCUGGUGUAGCGGUGGAAUGCGCAGAUAUCAGGAGGAACACCGGUGGCGAAGGCGGGUCUCUGGGCAGUAACUGACGCUGAGGAGCGAAAGCGUGGGGAGCGAACA
rnacentral:rRNA from 1 species